CAGAGUAUUACCAAAAUUUACAGAUCAUUUAACAGAAAUUUCACUUGUAACAACAUAUAAAAGAUAGUCACGCUUUUACAUAUCAUGAUAGAUAUAAUUCUUUUGCUGUUUCUUUAUAAACAUUUAUUAUUCAUUUCAUUAUAUCAAUUUUUUUCACGUACCAUCAUUUCCAUAUAAUUCAGGUAUAUACCGGUGAUAAUUCAUUUCAAACUCAUAUUAUCUCAUAUCAGAACCUUACCCCUUGAAUCAUUUAAAUAUCAAUGGGUACACUUAAUUCAGCUCAAUAUCAAUAAUAACCAUAAGCCUACAAAUACUAAUUUCAUAUGUCACUUAUCAAUCUUUGUCAAAUUAGAGAACGUCUUACGAAUUUGAGUCUGUCAUUUGCUCAGUGCCACGAUUCACCACUCGGUAUGGGAAAUGCCAUACCUACAUUUCUUAACUCAGUAUGGAUAAUACCAUACCUAUAUUUCUCAACUCGGUAUGGAUGAUACCAUACCUACAUUUCACAACUCGGUAUGGAUAAUACCAUACCUACAUUUCGCACUUUGCCAUGGAUCAACCAUUGUCUUUUCCAUCAAUUCAUCUUGUCACUGAAAAUACUCAAUUUGAUCGUUUAUUCAAUUUUCACGCUCUUACAUUAUUCACAAUUUUAUCAUCAAUUCAUAUGAAAUAACACAUCAUGAAAUUCAUAAAAUUAACAAACGGUCACUAAAAUUUAGUUAUACAAACUCACUAGUACGAUUUUUGUAUUAUAACGAUAAUCAUAAUUUCAUAUUAAAUAUUCCAAAUAAAACAUUAUAUCCUUUCUAAUUCAACAUUUAUCGAUUAUAAUCGGGCACGUGAUCAAUUUAUACACAAGUCAUUCAUAUAUAAAUGUAUAUUUUCCUCCUCCUCCUCUCCAUCCACAUCCUUAGUAUAAACAACACACUUAUAGGUAACAUUAUCCAUAAUUUUCACUAUCUACUUAUGUGAAUAUUCACGCUGUCCAUCUGUGUUAUAGUUACUAAAUUAUUUUUAUCUUGAGCUACAGAAUUCCAAAUUAAGAUCCAUAAAUUUUCCCAGAAACUAGACUCAUAUGUCUUCUUACCAUAAAAUUUUCAUAAUUUUUGGUUUAGCCAAUUAGUACAGUUUAUUCAUUUAAGUUUCCCCUGUUUCACUAUCCAACAGUUCUGAUCUCUCUUCACUAAAAAUUAAUUAUAUCACAGUACAGAACUCGGAUAAUGUUCCCGUUGAUUUCUAUUGAAAAUAGACUCGUCAAAGAUUCUAAGCAUAUAAAUUUGAGCCUCUAAUUAAUUUUCUCCAAUUUUUGGUGAUUUUCUAAAUUUAAAACAGGGGAAUCUGAAUUCAUUCUGACCUUGUCUCACAAAACUCAUUAUAGCACAUAAUUUACAAUUCAAUUGCUUACACCGUUUCUUCUAUGAGAAACUAGACUCAAUAAGCUUUAAUUUCAUAUAUUAUUCAUCCUAUAAUUCGAUUUUUAAAAUUUAUGGUGAUUUUGCAAAAUUAGCCUACUGCUGCUGUCCAAAACUGUUUUAGUUCAAGAUGUUUAUUACCAUUCUUCCUCUAAAUUUCACAGGUCAUACAAUUCAGUCCUUGCUCAAUUAGCUCAUCUAAUAAGCUAAUUUUUCUCAAUUAACAUUUUAUUCCAUCAUUCUAAACUAUUACACAACCUUUGAAAAUUAGAAUUUUAACACUAAACCUUAAUUCACAACUUUCUCAUAAUUAGGUCCUAAAAUCAAUUUCUAUUGAAAUUACUUGAUAAAAUCAUCAAACAAUAAAAUCAAAGCUUCAAAUUCAUUUUAAUUCAUCAUAAACAGCCAACACUUGUCAAUGAUAACUUUUAAUUUUGUCCAUAAAAUAAAAAACUAAUGAAUUAAACACUUGGACUUAAUUGUAAAAGUCACAAAAACAUAAAAAUCUCAAAGAAAAGGGCAAGAAUUGAACUCACAUAUGUCAAAGUAUGAAAAACCAGCGGCUUUCAGACCUUCCAUGGCGUUUUUGCUGAAGAAAAAUGAUGAUAUCUCCAGAUUUUUCAAUUUUGUCUUGUUUUAUAUGUUUAAUUUGCAAAAUUUCCCAUUUUGCCCUUGUUUCUCCUUGUCUUUUUGCUGAUUUUCUUACCC
rnacentral:lncRNA from 1 species